rnacentral:lncRNA from 1 species
GGGCAGCGGCGCGGCGCCUGGACCGGCCCCGGGCCUCGCUUUCCCCUGGACCGGGGGCGGGUGUGUGUGUGUUGGCCGGCGUGGGGCGGUGGAGGGGUGGUCCACUGCUGUUUCAAAUUCUUGCUCUUCUCGCAAGUUCCCCGUGGCAUCCGGAACCAGCCUGCCUCAUCCCCACGACUCAGGGGUCUAACUCCCAGCUGUCGGCUCUCUCGUGGCCAGUGCGCUCCCCUUCUCCCCGUUCCUGGGUGGGCACCGCACCGGAGGGGCAAGAGGUGGAGGGAGCCUGGGCGCCGCCCCGCGGGAGCCGAGCUCCGGAGCGGCGGGGACUGCGAUUCCGAAAAGUACCACGCGGGGGCGCCAGGACCUGCGCGGACGCGGGCGAGGCAGCGCAAGGUGGUUUCCGUCCGUGCGGUGGCGGCGCGGGCGCUGUCCAGCGUGCUGAAGCUUGAGCGAGCGAGUCUCCCGGAGCCGCGCGGACCCAGCUGAGCCCAGCGCACUGGACGCCAGACCUCGACCAUCGCUCGUAUCCUAGCCACCGCUCGGAGCCGAGGCGGACGCAUCCCGAUCUUCCCCUGUCCCCACCCCGCCCCGACCCUCUUCUCCACCUCCCGCGUCGUGGCACCAGCUGGUAAAUACUCUGCUGUCCGUCCCUCAAACCCUCGGCAGUCGUGGGCGUGAAGGGAGGGUUCUCUCUCCCCACAGAUGGGAGUGUUGAAAACACAGCGGGGAGCCCCCGGGAAGGGUCCCUGUAAAUGGGGGAGUCGCCGCUUUUCUCUUGCUGCUGAAGUCGCCCACGCACCAUCCGGGGAGUCCUGCGGGGAGGGAGCAGAUUUUUUUUUCCCCCUGCAUCCUUGCUGCUUAGUAUGUGGGCGCUGGCAGUGAGAUGGCUCAGGGAAAGGGGCGAGGAGGCACUGGGGGAGCAAGGGUUGCAGGCGUUUCCCCAUUUACACGAUUCCAGAGAUCGGAACAACAUCGUCCUCCUUUGCUCCUAAACGUCCCUUUUCUGGGUAAGGUCAGGGAGACAAGGGAAGC